rnacentral:rRNA from 1 species
GACAGCUGAAUGAUAGUCGGGCUGAAGACUCUACUUGACUAGCUGAGAGGAGGUGCAUGGCCGUCGUCAGUUCGUACUGUGAAGCAUCCUGUUAAGUCAGGCAACGAGCGAGACCCACGCCCACAGUUGCCAGCGUACUCUCCGGAGUGACGGGUACACUGUGGGGACCGCCGCUGCUAAAGCGGAGGAAGGAAUGGGCAACGGUAGGUCAGUAUGCCCCGAAUAUCCCGGGCUACACGCGAGCUACAAUGGUUGGUACAAUGGGUAUCUACCCCGAAAGGGGAUGGAAAUCUCCUAAAGCCAAUCUUAGUCCGGAUUGAGGGCUGCAACUCGCCCUCAUGAAGCUGGAAUCCGUAGUAAUCGCGUUUCAACAGAACGCGGUGAAUACGUCCCUGCUCCUU